rnacentral:rRNA from 1 species
GACGGGGGGUCCUAGCGUUGUUCGGAAUUAUUGGGCGUAAAGCGUGUGCAGGUUGUCUGAAAAGUUAGAUGUGAAAUCCUUGGGCUCAACCCAAGACGUGCAUUUAAAACUGCCAGACUUGAAUAUCGAAGAGGUUCGUGGAAUUCCAGGUGUAGGUGGUGAAAUACGUAGAUAUCUGGAGGAACACCGGACGGCGGAAGGCG